GCUGGCGUAGCUCAACAGUAGAGCACCUGUUUUGUAAACAGGCGGUUGUCGGUGCAAGUCCGACCGCCAGCUCCA
rnacentral:tRNA from 1 species